UUUUCCUUGCUUCGGUUUCUACAGUUCCGUCCCUAUUUUUUUUCUUUUCUUCUUUUUUUUUGUUCGGUUUUGAGCUCUCCUUCUCCACCUCCCCUUUUUCGGUUUUGAGCUCUCCUUCUCCAAGGACUUCAUCCUCUUCUUCUUCAAGCCUUCUAAACUCUUCAAAGCUUCAUCUUUCCCUCAUCCUCUCCAAAGCUUCAAGCAAAGAAAGUUGGGUUUGGAGGAUCUUCAUCAACAACAAAGUCUCCUCUUCAAGGAUUCUCCAAGCUUUGGUUUCUGAUGCCUCCACGCCGAUCUCGACUUCCUAGGAGUCGAUCCCAUUCGCAGCCUAGCGAGGAAGAAAUUCCCGCAGCAUCCUCCCCUCCAGCAGCUUCCUUUUUUGGGGUCGAGUUCCCCGCGGGCAGCCUUCCUCCUCAUGCUAAUACUGGUUGUAGCCGGGAGGUCUUCUCUUCAGCUUCCAUCAGGCAGGCCGUUAGUCCACUCCCUCAGUUUGACAGAGAUCGCUCCGACGAAUCCUGUCGUUUGAUACGGGAUGGAGGACGCCUCCUUCACUGCAGAUUCUACUUCCACUCAGGCUUUAAAGAAGCCCGGUUUUCUGUUCGGGCUGGUCUACAGGCAGAACUUGAGCAGAGUUAUAUAGAUAGGCUUUCUAGUUUAGAGUCUCAUAUUCUUAGCCGUCAGCUGCCUUCGGGCUAACGAGCUCUUUAUUGUAUGCCUUGACUUGAUCUAUUAAUAGAGACUCUGCAUAUGAUUCCCUUUCUUUAUUCA